GCUCCCUUAGCUCAAUUGGCAGAGCAAGCGACUCUUAAUCGCUAGGUUGAUGGUUCAAGUCCAUCAGGGAGCA
rfam:Gemmatimonadetes bacterium SCN 70-22 ABS52_C0053, whole genome shotgun sequence.